rnacentral:lncRNA from 1 species
CACAAGCAAUAUCAGAGUCAAAUGCAGAAGUAGAGUCAUAGACACAGGNAGAAUAAGCAUUACUCACAUCACCAAAAUAGGUAGACAUGUAAAAGGGGGGAAAAGAAGAAUGCAAAGGAAGAAUAAGCAUUACUCACAUCACCAAAAUAGGUAGACAUGUAAAAGGGGGGAAAAGAAGAAUGCAAAGGAAGAAUAAGCAUUACUCACAUCACCAAAAUAGGUAGACAUGUAAAAGGGGGGAAAAGAAGAAUGCAAUGAAAAUAUGCAACUAAAGCUACCUAAAUGCAACACACAAUAACGAACACACAAAACAGAACAUCACACUCACAACACAAGACAAAACACAACACACACUAACACACAAAAGACCUAAAACCGAACCGUUGGUCCCCAGCAAUGGCGCCAAAAUUUGAUGGGUGUCGCAGCCCAUACAAAUUCGAUUGCAUAUGAGAAAUGCAGUAUAACUAGGAAGUGACUCCUAGGUCGCCUCUCAAGGGCCAAAUGUGGUUCAGGAAUUAGGUCUAACACAUAGUGGGGGGGUUGUGGAAAUUGUUUUGUGAUUCGAAUUGAACUAAAUUAAAACUCAAAAUUUAAAUACAACUGAAAAUAAUUGAAAGCAUUUAAAUGCAUGGAAAUAUUAAAUCCAACACUGUAACGAACAACUAUCUAACAGAGUUAAAAUUACUUAAAUACAACCUAAAUUAAAAGACGAAGAACAACUCAACCUACUAUGUAAAUUAAAUUAAAGCAAAAGAAAUAAAUAAACAUUAUUUUCUCCUAGUAUUUCACGUGACACCACCUCCUUAAAAUGAAAAUCACCGCAAGCAACUCUUUCUUUAUUCAAAUAAUGCGUACUCUUCCAAUUGCUAAAAUGAAUGUGCUGCACCGUCACAUGCUAAAAUGAAAAUCACCGUCAUCUUUUGUAAAAUUCAAUCUUCAUCCCAAAUAAAUCAACAAGUGUUUUUCCAAAGUAAAUAAAAGUUGCCAUGUUCUCCUAUCAAAUCCACCGAAUAUGCCCAUUAAGAAAUGAGAAAUAAAAACGUGUGCUUUUGCUACCAUAAAAAAAAUGAAAUCAGGCUUUUCUCUGAUUGAAAUCAUGACUUCAAUAUUGAAAUGAAGAUAAAACUGCUUUAUCCACUGUAAACCCGAGCACACAUCUGAAGAAAGGAAUUAAAUGCUCCUAAAAGAAAUUUCACCAUGCACCUACCACCUACUCCUAUUCUCAAAGAAAUAAAAGAAAGAAAUAGAAAGGGUUUCCUCCUCCAGCACGUGAAGACUCUUCCCUCCAAGCAUAAAUUAAUUUUCUUCUCACAAUAUCACCACCGUACAAGACACAUGUUGCCACCUACCACCUCUUCAAUUGAAAUCAAAACAUUUCAUUGAAUGAAAGAAACAAAAUCGUGGCCCCCUUGCUUCAGCACUCAAUCAACCAUACUUCCUCCAAUUAUUCCCAUCCAAUCACUUAGCUUCUUCUUACUAAAAGAAAUAAAAGGAAAGUAGCUACUCUAGCUGCCUGAAACGUCCCAUCUCCUGGACCAACUCACCUAAUCUACUCUUCAAUCACAAGAAAUUUGGUGCAACAAAGCAAAGAAAAUCAACCUAUAAAAUACUAAUUAAGAAGAACAAGAUGCCUCUUCAAACAUUAAAUAUGACGUGACCAAAUGAAAGAUAACAACUUUCAAUUCAACUUUAUCCAAGCUUAAACCGUGACCACUCAAAUUCAAAAUCAAUCAGCGUGUAACUUCUUCAAAGCAAUAAAAUCAAGCACCAAAAUAAAAUGAAAGCAUGUGUUCUCUCCUGGUGAAAUCCCGUGUGAUAGUGAAUGAAAAUUGGAAGUAGCGUGCACAAGAAAAAAAAUGAUAUCAAUGCUGAAAUUAAAAUCUACCAAAAACCAAAAAGGUAGUUAUUGGACCAUGCAUUCAAUUAACCAAAAUCCAAUAGCAAAAACAUCUUCUAUGAAAACGUUGCUGCCUUCCCCCAAACAAAAAUUGAAGCAAGUGACGGCUGGAAGGGUUUUUUUUAGAUCCCUAGGACCAUGUGUCACUUAAAAUGACGUGGGUCCACCCUAAAGGAAACCCUAGGGUAACAAGUGUCUUAGACUUUUGGGCCCAUCAUAAAUUUUAAUGGCCCAAUGUACAAAAGUUUGUCCAAAAAGUUUAAACAAUUAUAUUACAAUACAACUAAAAUUUAAAAUGUUUAAUUUGAGAGUCUUGAAUUUAUUUUUGUCUCCUUCCCAAUGCUCCAAAUUGUAUCUCCAAAAUUUUCCCUCCAAUUAAAAAUGCAAUUAAUUAGGU